CGGAACGGGUGAGUAACACGUGGGCAACCUUUCCUAUCGCGGGGGAGUAACAGCGGGAAACCGCUGCUAAUACCGCAUGUCGUCACUGGUCGCAUGGCUGGUGAAGAAAGCAGUAAUGCACGAUGGGGUGGGCCCGCGGCCUAUCAGCUAGUCGGUGGGGUAACGGCCUACCGAGGCGAUGACGGGUAGCUGGUCUGAGAGGACGGCCAGCCACACGGGGACUGAGACACGGCCCCG
rnacentral:rRNA from 1 species